AUGGAGUCUUGCUCUGUUGCCCAGGUUGGAGUAGAGUGGCGCGAUCUCCGCUGACUGCAAGCUCCACCUCCUGGAUUCACACCAUUCUCCUGCCUCAGCCUCCCAAGUAGCUGGGAAUACAGGACCUUCCUUCAACUUCAAAGUUUUUCAUCUCCUCUGUACACAUGAUGCUUCCGGAUUCUGAAGACUUAACUGUGCAAACCAACAAUGCCCAUUAUUGUCUCGGGAGUUUUGCGUAGACCUGAAGUGACAAAGGGGAGUAACUUCAGACAAAUCAACAGAAUGUAAUUACAGGUUAAUGAGUGCCAUCCCAAACCUACAAAUCAGAACCUCUGGAGGAGAGGCCUGGGAAUGCAUUUUGACAAACUCCUUAGAAGAUUCUCUGUCACCUGAAGUUUGAGGACCACCGCUGUAGAAGUAUACCUCAUUCAUCUACUUAAAUCAGACUGAGUCUUUUCUUAAGCUGAAUUCAGAUACAUAUCUUUCUGCCCAUUUUUUGCUUUUAUUAUUAUUUUUCAUUGACACAAUAAUUGCACAUAUUAAUGGAGUUCAGUGUAAUAUUUCAAUACAUGUAUACAAUGUGUAAUGAUCAAAUCAGGCAAAUUACCAUAUUCAUCAUCUUAAACACCUGUCAUUCCUUUGUGUUGGGAACAUUCAAAAUCUGCUCUUCUAGGUAUUUAAAAAUAUACAGUUAAUUAUUAUUAAUUAUAUUCGCUACAGAACACUAGCGCUACAGCGCUAUAGAACACUAGAACUUAUUCCUUCUAUAUAGCUAUAAUUGCUUUCUGUUAACCAACCUCUGGCUAUGUGCCCCACGCCCCUUCCCUAGUAACCACAAUUCUACUCUCUACUUCUCUGAAAUCAACUUUUUUAGCUCCCACGUAUGAGUGAGAACAUGCGGUACUUGUCUUUCUGUGCCUGGCUUAUUUCACUUAACAUAAUGUCCCCCAAGCACAUCCAUGUUGCCAGAUACAUUUUUAUAAACCGAUUUGUGUUGCCUAGCUUCAGGCUGUGAACCUCUCAAGUGAGUAGUCAUAGAAGCCAUCUCCUUUCAUUUUUUAACUUAUUUGUGUCAGGCAAGAUGGAAAAAAGAGGAAAAAUCGGGCUUCUUAAUCAGAUGUUAUAAAAACAGUGUACCAUUCCUUUAUACACAAAAGUAAAAAGCAAAUUCAAGAAAUUAGUUUGCAUUGGCACUUCUUGGGUGCUUUAAAUCACUUGACAAUGGGAAUAGAACAUCAGUGAGCUGGUAUCUGCUAUAAUUACACCUACUGUUGCAUGUUAUUUCUUCUUCCAUGGAACACAUGGCAACUUUCCAGAAACUUUGUUCUGUUAUUAUACUGUAAUAUUCUUCAAUGCAGGGGGAAAGAGUAUUUUUGAAUUUUUUCCCUUUCCUUUGAAAUUAUUUCCCAUGCCUUUCAUGGACCUUGGUAAUGUUCCAAAACUUUUCUAAUCAAUAUAACAUUGUAAGCUGUCAGAAUGGAUUUUCUUCGCUAGAAUUUAUAUGGCACUACACAUUUAAUAUCUGUGCUACAUAAAUCGUUUUUUGGCAUUAUUUUCUUGUUUCUUCAGAGUCUUUUUUUUCAGACCUGUUGAAUUAUCUCCAAUUUUAAAGGCUUUAUUAAAGUAGCUCUAGAGUUCCAUUUCCGGAAACACUGAACAGCAAAAUCUUCUUGACAAUUUGCUAUCAUGUUACUUAGAGACUGAGACUCAUUCCAUUUGCAAAGUGCCUAAAAAGAGGGUAUUAGACAUUUGAGGAGGAUGAACUGCUUUGAUCAAACUGGUUAGUACAUUCAGUCAUAUAACCAGUGAAUUCUGGUAGCAAGCUUGAUGAUUGGGGAAUUGUUUUUUGUUCCUUUAGUAUAUUGAGUGGCUGCCUUCAUGAAUUUACGAAAACACUGGGGUUUUUUUUUUGGUUGCUUGUUUUUUGUUAUUGCCUCAUUGUAGUCCAUAACCAUAAAAAUAACCUCUUAUUGAACACAAAAAUGAAGCUUAACAUUGAACAGUAAUGGCAACUCAAUAAUAAAGCAAAUUAAAAUGGAAAAAAUCUACUCUGAUAUGUACCAAAUAAAAUAUUAUUCUUUAUAUAAUGU